UGCCAGCAGCCGCGGUAAUACGGAAGGUGCGAGCGUUAAUCGGAAUUACUGGGCGUAAAGCGCACGUAGGUGGCUUGGUAAGUCGGAUGUGAAAGCCCUGGGCUCAACCUGGGAAUUGCAUUCGAUACUGCUUAGCUAGAGUAUGAGAGAGGGUUGGUAGAAUUCCUGGUGUAGGAGUGAAAUCCGUAGAUAUCAGGAGGAAUACCGGAGGCGAAGGCGGCCAACUGGCAGUGCAUUGACGCUGAGGUGCGAAAGCGUGGGGAGCAAACAGGAUUAGAUA
rnacentral:rRNA from 1 species